rnacentral:rRNA from 1 species
GAUGAACGCUAGCUACAGGCUUAACACAUGCAAGUCGAGGGGCAGCAUGGUCUUAGCUUGCUAAGGCCGAUGGCGACCGGCGCACGGGUGAGUAACACGUAUCCAACCUGCCGUCUACUCUUGGACAGCCUUCUGAAAGGAAGAUUAAUACAAGAUGGCAUCAUGAGUCCGCAUGUUCACAUGAUUAAAGGUAUUCCGGUAGACGAUGGGGAUGCGUUCCAUUAGAUAGUAGGCGGGGUAACGCCCGACCUAGUCUUCGAUGGAUAGGGGUUCGUGAGGAGGAAGGGUCCCCCGACCAUUGGAACUGAGACACGGUCCAAACUACCUACGGGAGGCAGCAGUGAGGAAUAUUGGUCAAUGGGCGAGAGCCUGAACCAGCCAAGUAGCGUG